UAAGAUUUCAGAGGCUUUUCAUUUUUGAUUUUUGGGUUUUUAGUAAGAUUUGGUUAAUUUUUUUCUAGGGUUCUCUUUUGGUUGUGAUUGUAAGUAAGCUAUAUAUACUUUUUUUUUUUUCAAUUGCUUUUAUUCAUGGCAAGUGUACAAAAUUCAAUCAUCGACCUAAUCAUCUAAGUGUACAAAUUAGUUUUUAACAUACUAACAUGUCGGAAUUGUAAGUAGCAGAUUGUUUAUUUAUGUAUUUUGCCUUCCGUAUCAUACUUCACCAAAGAGAUAGAUGAUGUCAUUUUGCCUUGCAUAUGUUAAAUAUUUGGAUACUCAUGUUAUUAUAUUUGCUUGUUAGAUGUCCUUCAUUGAUUAAUAUCUUGCCUACUUAUGCGACUUAUAAAACUUGGCCAGCAAAUGCUUAUGUGCAGAAGUUAAAUGUUAUAGGGACUGUGUUUAUUUAUAAAGAAUUAAAAGAUUAGUGUUUAUGAAUUAUAAGUUAAAAUAUUGCAGCUGCUGAUCCGUAUUUGGUGUUGCAUUUUUGUAAAAACUAUUUCAUGUUAGGAUAUCAUUGCAUGAAAGACCGUAUUUCAUGUUAGUAGUGUUGCAUGUCUUUUACAUUCAUUUAUAGUUCUAUGUAAAUGUUAAAAAGUUUAGUGUUUUUUAUCUUGAUAUUUGUAUUUGUGUUUGUUAACUACCUGAAAAUCUAUUACUUUGACAAAUUUUAUU
rnacentral:lncRNA from 1 species